UAGAGGCUGGGACGUUUUCAUUGUGGCUUGGAAUUGACAUCGAAUAAGCAGUAUCCUUUCAAUGUUUCCUGUCAAGAAGGUAUAUUUUCAACGCUAUUUUAACCUGAUUUGUUCCUCAUACAUGGAUCAUUGGCUGUGGAUUGCCAUAAUAUUUUUUUCACUACGCCACGGGGCGUACCAACAGUCCCAACAGGAUGCACAUGAUUUACAAUUCUCUUUGUUUUGUUUGGUUGUUGUGUUUAUUUUCAUUUUUAAUGCAUUUUAAAAAUAAUUAAAAAUACUUUCGUUUGUUUUCUUUGUUUUGUGUGUUUGCAUGGUGCUUGGACAAUAAUUGAGCAAUAGGCCAUUGGUUGUAAAUAUUGAAUAAGUUGGUUGUAUUGCCAAGCAUGUAAAUUUUAUCUUAUACUAGAUAAUUUUGUGUUCUUAAUCGUAGAAUAAUUAGUUUGAUUAGUUAAUUUGUAUAAUAG
rnacentral:lncRNA from 1 species